UUUCCAAGCCCGUUCCCUUGGCAGUGGUUUCGCUAGAAAGUAGAUAGGGACAGAAGGGGAAUCUCGUUAAUCCAUUCAUGCGCGUCACUAGUUAGAUGACGAGGCAUUUGGC